rnacentral:lncRNA from 1 species
AAAUCGAUCAAAUAUAAAGUUUAAUAUGGAUUCUGUUAUAGACAUAAUAUAUUUAUACAUUGAGCGUUUGUCUUCAUUUAAAGAGUGGAAGUAUGAUAAAUGUAGAAAAAGAAACACUUAUAUAUUAUAUAUGCGGAAGAGAGAAAGAAUGCAAGGAGCACCAAAGUGAUUUUUUUUCUGUCUUUACUUUAUUCCAAUUUCCUCAAUAUUUAAUCUAAAUAUUAUGGCUGUUUUUCAAUAAGAUACAUAAAUAACAGCUAAUUUAUAUCUAUAGAUUUUUCAUAAUAUACAUAUAAAUAGUUUUCCCAUAAUUCUUAAGUAACUAUAUGUAUAUUUUCAACUUUUAUCUAGAAAUUCACUUAAAAAAAAAGGCAUUAUUUAUUUUGUCACCGCUUUUCCGCGAUGCUGAUUGGUUGUUGGUCAAGUUUGUACUAUGUGACUUGCUUCACACUGUCGUCUGCUGCUGUCUAACUUUUGAUAAUUCAUCGCAUUGGACAAAAACUUUUAACAGUUCCCAGUAUUUGAAAAUCUCAAUUUGAUUGAGAAAGAGAAAGAGAGCCAGUUUUUGAGAAACGAAAGAAAUUUUAUAGAGAAAGAAAAAGAUUAGUGUGAGAGUUGAGUGUAAAAGAAAGAAAGAAGUUUAACCAAAAAGAAAUAAUUAAAUAAAGAGUUGGAAAAAGAGAAAGCGAGAAAUUACGUUUGGCAAGUAAUUAGAAGGAGAUACAGCGAGUGAGAA